rnacentral:rRNA from 1 species
GAUGAACGCUAGCUACAGGCUUAACACAUGCAAGUCGAGGGGUAACGAGAGGAAAGCUUGCUUUCCUUGUCGACGACCGGCGCACGGGUGAGUAACGCGUAUCCAACCUGCCCCCAACUAGGGAAUAACCUUGCGAAAGUAAGACUAAUACCCUAUAAUUUCCUCAGAUGACAUCUGACGAGGAAUAAAGAUUUAUCGGUUGUGGAUGGGGAUGCGUCUGAUUAGCUUGUUGGCGGGGUAACGGCCCACCAGGGCAACGAUCAGUAGGGGCUCUGAGAGGAAGGUCCCCCACAUUGGAACUGAGACACGGUCCAAACUCCUACGGGAGGCAGCAGUGAGGAAUAUUGGUCAAUGGGCGGAAGCCUGAACCAGCCAAGUAGCGUGCAGGAUGACGGCCCUAUGGGUUGUAAACUGCUUUUAUACAGGAAUAAAGUUAGCCACGUGUGGUUAUUUGUAGGUACUGUAUGAAUAAGGACCGGCUAAUUCCGUGCCAGCCGCCGCGGUAA